rnacentral:lncRNA from 1 species
GAUGGUACAGUUGUAUGACUAAUCCGAUUAUUAAUAGUGAGGCUGAUAUAGUUUGACUAUACAUAUACUUGGUCCCUAGCUAUAUAGGUUUUUGCGGUAUAUGUUGGGUGUUGUAGGUUCAUUGUAGGAAUAGGAUGUGCACCAAGAUAGAAUCUAUCAUUCUUGAUAGAUAAGAAAGAUGAUUCUAUAUGAUUUAUAAGACUGAGUUUAAAAGACCUUGGCC